GUCCCAGUUCAGAUCGCAGUCUGCAACCCGACUGCGUGAAGUCGGAAUCGCUAGUAAUCGCGGAUCAGCAUGCCGCGGUGAAUACGUUCCCGGGCCUUGUACACACCGCCCGUCACACCAUGGGAGUCGGUAACACCCGAAGCCUGUAGUCUAACCGCAAGGAGGACGCAGUCGAAGGUGGGAUUGAUGACUGGGGUGAAGUCGUAACAAGGUAUC
rnacentral:rRNA from 1 species